AAUAUUCGUGCAUGGAAUAAUAGAAUAGGAAGUUCGUUUCUAUUUUGUUGGUUUUAGGAUAACGACUUAAUGAUUAAUAGGGACAAUCGGGGGAAUUAGUAUUCAAACGACAGAGGUGAAACUCUUGGACCGUUUGAAGACUAACUACUGCGAAAGCAUUUUCCAAGAGUGUUUUCAUUAAUCAAGAACGAAAGUUAGAGGUUCGAAGGCGAUCAGAUACCGCCCUAGUUCUAACCAUAAACGAUGCCAGCUAGCGAUCUCAGGGUGCGUAAUACUAAGGCCCCUGAGGGAGCUUCCGGGAAACCAAAGCUUGUGGGUUCCGGGGGAAGUAUGGUUGCAAAGCUGAAACUUAAAGGAAUUGACGGAAGGGCACCACCAGGAGUGGAGCCUGCGGCUU
rnacentral:rRNA from 1 species